rnacentral:rRNA from 1 species
GAGGAAAAGAAACUAACAAGGAUUCCCCUAGUAACUGCGAGUGAAGCGGGGAAAGCUCAAAUUUAAAAUCUGGUGGCCUUUGGUCAUCCGAGUUGUAAUUUAGAGAAGCGUCUUCCGCGCUGGACCAUGCACAAGUCUCCUGGAAUGGAGCGUCAUAGAGGGUGAGAAUCCCGUCUUUGGCAUGGAUGUACCAGGGCUUCUGUGAUGCGCUCUCGAAGAGUCGAGUUGUUUGGGAAUGCAGCUCAAAAUGGGUGGUGAACUCCAUCUAAAGCUAAAUAUUGGCGAGAGACCGAUAGCGAACAAGUACCGUGAGGGAAAGAUGAAAAGCACUUUGGAAAGAGAGUGAAACAGUACGUGAAAUUGUUGAAAGGGAAACGCUUGAAGUCAGUCGCGUCGACCGAGACUCAGCCUCGCCUUGGCUUGGUGUACUUCUCGGCCGACGGGUCAGCAUCAAUUUUGCGCCUCGGAUAAUGACAAGGGAAAGGUAGCACCUUUAUAGGCGUGUUAUAGUCUCUUGUCGCAUGCGAGGGUUGGGAUUGAGGAACUCAGCACGCGCCUUUUGGCGUCGGGGCUUCGGCCUACGUACGUGCUUAGGAUGCUGGCAUAAUGGCUUUAAACGACCCGUCUG